UGAGGGUGCAAGCGUUAAUCGGAAUUACUGGGCGUAAAGCGAGUGUAGGCGGCUGUGUAAGUCGGAUGUGAAAGCCCUGGGCUUAACCUGGGAAUUGCAUUCGAUACUGCACAGCUAGAGUCUGAUAGAGGGAAGUGGAAUUCCGGGUGUAGCGGUGAAAUGCGUAGAUAUCCGGAGGAACACCAGUGGCGAAGGCGGCUUCCUGGAUCAAGACUGACGCUGAGGCUCGAAAGCGUGGGGAGCAAACAGGAUUAGAUACCCUGGUAGUCCACGCCCCUAAACGAUGUCAACUAGACGUUGGGCUCAUAGAAGAGCUUAGUGUCGAAGCUAACGCGUUAAGUUGACCGCCUGGGGAGUACGGCCGCAAGGUUG
rnacentral:rRNA from 1 species